rnacentral:rRNA from 1 species
AUCCUUUAGUUGCUACUUUAAUUUUAAAAUUAAAAGCACUUUAAAGAAACUGCCGAUGACAAAUGGGAGGAAGGUGAGGAUGACGUCAAGUCUUCAUGGUCCUUAUGGACUGGGCUACACACGUGCGACAAUGGUAACUACAACAAGCAGCAAUAAUGAAAAUUGGAGCAAAUCUUAAAAAGUUAUCUUAGUUCGGAUUGUAGGCUGAAACUCGCCUACAUGAAGUUGGAAUCACUAGUAAUCGCAAAUCAGAACGUUGCGGUGAAUGCGUAC